rnacentral:rRNA from 1 species
GUGCCAGCAGCCGCGGUAAUACGUAGGGGGCGAGCGUUGUCCGGAUUUAUUGGGCGUAAAGGGCUCGCAGGCGGCCUGGCCAAGUCGUGCGUGAAAUCUCUCGGCUUAACUGAGAGCGGUCGUGCGAUACUGGUCGGCUCGAGGCCGGUAGGGGGAAGCGGAAUUCCGGGUGUAGUGGUGGAAUGCGUAGAUAUCCGGAGGAACACCAGUGGCGAAGGCGGCUUCCUGGACCGGUCCUGACGCUCAGGAGCGAAAGCGUGGGUAGCGAUCCGGAUUAGAUACCCGCGUAGUCC